rnacentral:snRNA from 1 species
GGAUGUGAGAGUAACCUGGUUUUGAUGCCACCAGGCUGAUCACCAGGGUCAAUUAGCUUGUAGCUCCUCUCUCCCCACUGCUCCAUGACCUUGAUUCCCAAAGUUUCAGGUAGUGGAAGAGGAUGCUGUUCCCCAAAGAAAGACAAAGUAAUCUUCAGUGGAGGGUAUGCAGUUAACUGCUCUCCCUUGCUAGAGCACACAAACAAGCCCUCAGACUCCAAAUGUGCAACUGGAAUGGGUCUUGCUUUCUGAAAUUCAGUAGAACUCAGUGGAAGUGCACACACU